AUUACCCUCUCUACUCUCUCUACACUUAAUGAAUUUCAUACUUACUUGAAAAAUUUCCAUGAUUGAAGAAUUGAACCCGAACCUUCCAGAUGAUGACUGAACACGCUACCUUUGAACCGUCGCCGUUGUCUGGGUAGUUGGUUCAAAAACUUGAAUUUCAAAUAUACCAGAGAAUUUCACCUUCACUUUUUCAAAGUAGGCGAAAUAAUGAAAACGUAAACAACAAAACCGAUGUGCAUUUAACGAAACCAUAUUUUUCCGCGUGCAGUAGAUUCUUGGCACAUACUUCCAAACAAAGUUGUGUAAACAAUCGACUGCAAAGGACACAAAGAACUAGCUGCAGUCCCAGCAAGAUGGAUGGAAACUUCCAGCAGGGGCUAAUUUCUUCUUCGGGAAAAUAGUAAGAGUUGAACAAAUCAGAAGAACAGCUUGGAACGAAGAAUACAUACGGAACUUUUUAUAAUGGCUCAAUUCCAACAUCGAGGGCGAAUGUCAGAGAACAGAAUGUUGCAGGCGUAAAUUUGUUUUUUCUUUAAAAUUUCAAGCCGAUUGUACCUGGACAGGAUCAAGCCGAGUCGCAUCUAAAAUAGCCAUACUGACAAACCUUUAACAUUUGAACAUUUUUCUUAAAAAUACUCACAACACAACACAAAAGCUUAAAAAUGCCACGAAACGAUUGACAAAUACUGGGCAGAGACGUGGCGCUCGGAAAAUGCUCAUUCAAAAAUAAAAACCAUCAAAGAUUUCAACAGACUUAGAUGAACCAAUUUCGAGUGAAAUGUCUUCUAAUAUUGGACACUCCGAUGACCAGGCCAGAGAUGAUUGUAGUAGUGAUUCAAAAUAACAUUUUGUCAUUAAUUUUCCAUUUUAUGUAUCCAUUUAAAACAAACAUGAAAUAAAUAUUAUU